GACGAACGCUGGCGGCGUGCUUAACACAUGCAAGUCGAACGGAAAGGCCCUGCUUUUGUGGGGUGCUCGAGUGGCGAACGGGUGAGUAACACGUGAGUAACCUGCCCUUGACUUUGGGAUAACUUCAGGAAACUGGGGCUAAUACCGGAUAGGAGCUCCUGCUGCAUGGUGGGGGUUGGAAAGUUUCGGCGGUUGGGGAUGGACUCGCGGCUUAUCAGCUUGUUGGUGGGGUAGUGGCUUACCAAGGCUUUGAAGGGUAGCCGGCCUGGGAGGGUGACCGGCGACAUGGGGACUGAGAGACGGCCCAGACUCCUACGGGAGGCAGCAGUGGGGAAUAUUGCACAAUGGGCGGAAGCCUGAUGCAGCAACGCCGCGUGCGGGAUGACGGCCUUCGGGUUGUAAACCGCUUUCGCCUGUGACGAAGCGUGAGUGACGGUAAUGGGUAAAGAAGCACCGGCUAACUACGUG
rnacentral:rRNA from 1 species